UACAGAGGGGGCAAGCGUUGUUCGGAAUUACUGGGCGUAAAGGGCGCGUAGGCGGCUGUGUUAGUCAGGCGUGAAAUUCCUGGGCUCAACCUGGGGACUGCGCUUGAUACGGCAUGGCUUGAGGAUGGAAGAGGCUCGCGGAAUUCCCAGUGUAGAGGUGAAAUUCGUAGAUAUUGGGAAGAACACCGGUGGCGAAGGCGGCGAGCUGGUCCAUUACUGACGCUGAGGCGCGACAGCGUGGGGAGCAAACAGG
rnacentral:rRNA from 1 species